rnacentral:rRNA from 1 species
AUCCGUAGCCGGCUGCUCAAGUUUUCGGUUAAAUCUAUGCGCUCAACGUAUAGGCCGCCGAAAAUACUGGGCAGCUAGGGAGUGGGAGAGGUACACGGUACUCAAUAGGAAGGGGUAAAAUCCUUUGAUCUAUUGAUGACCACCUGUGGCGAAGGCGGUGUACCAGAACACGUUCGACGGUGAGGGAUGAAAGCUGGGGGAGCAAACCGGAUUAGAUACCCGGGUAGUCCCAGCUGUAAACGAUGCAGACUCGGUGAUGCAUUGGCUUGUGGCCAAUGCAGUGCCGCAGGGAAGCCGUUAAGUCUGCCGCCUGGGAAGUACGUACGCAAGUAUGAAACUUAAAGGAAUUGGCGGGGGAGCACCACAAGGGGUGAAGCCUGCGGUUCAAUUGGAGUCAACGCCAGAAAUCUUACCUGGGGCGACAGCAGAAUGAAGGUCAAGCUGAAGACUUUACCAGACAAGCUGAGAGGUGGUGCAUGGCCGUCGCCAGCUCGUGCCGUGAGAUGUCCUGUUAAGUCAGGUAACGAGCGAGACCCCUGCGUCUAGUUGCUACCAUUACUCUCUGGAGUAGUGGAGCGAAUUAGACGGACCGCCACAGUUAAUGUGGAGGAAGGAAGGGGCCACGGCAGGUCAGUAUGCCCCGAAACCCUAGGGCUACACGCGGGCUGCAAUGGUAUUGACAAUGUGUUCCGAAUCCGAAAGGAGGAGGCAAUCAUCAAACGAUACCUCAGUUAUGACUGAGGGCUGUAACUCGCCCUCACGAAUAUGGAAUCCCUAGUAACUGCGCGUCACUACCGCGCGGUGAAUACGUCCCUGCUCCUUGCACACACCGCCCGUCGUUUCAUCGAAGUUGGCCUUUAGUGAGGUAGUGUCUUGUUGGCAUUAUCGAGCUUGAGGUCAGUGACGAGGGAAAAGUCGUAACAAGGUA